AGGAGUGGAGCCUGCGGCUUAAUUUGACUCAACACGGGAAACCUCACCAGGCCCGGACACCGGAAGGAUUGACAGAUUGAGAGCUCUUUCUUGAUUCGGUGGGUGGUGGUGCAUGGCCGUUCUUAGUUGGUGGAGCGAUUUGUCUGGUUAAUUCCGAUAACGAACGAGACUCUAGCCUGCUAACUAGGCGUAUUUCGACAUCCCAAAGGCCCGCCGGUUUGGGGCUUCGCGCUCCUUUCUGCGCGCGGUUUUUACUGUCGGCGUACAAACAAUUCUUCUUAGAGGGACAGGCGGCUUCUAGCCGCACGAGAUUGAGCAAUAACAGGUCUGUGAUGCCCUUAGAUGUUCUGGGCCG
rnacentral:rRNA from 1 species